rnacentral:rRNA from 1 species
UACAGAGGGUGCGAGCGUUAAUCGGAAUUACUGGGCGUAAAGGGCGCGUAGGCGGCCAUCUAAGUCAGACGUGAAAUCCCCCGGCUUAACCUGGGAACUGCGUCUGAUACUGGAAGGCUUGAGUAUGGGAGAGGGAUGUAGAAUUCCAGGUGUAGCGGUGAAAUGCGUAGAUAUCUGGAGGAAUACCGGUGGCGAAGACGGCAUCCUGGACCAUUACUGACGCUGAGGCGCGAAAGCUAGGGGAGCAAACGGG